GGGGCCGUAGCUCAGCUGGGAGAGCGCUGCAAUCGCACUGCAGAGGUCAGGGGUUCGAUCCCCCUCGGCUCCACCA
rnacentral:tRNA from 2 species